GGCAGCAUGGCGCAGUGGUUGGAGUGCUGGACUAGGACUCUGGAGAGCAGGGUUCGAAUCUUGGCUCAGCCA